UACGAAGGGGGCUAGCGUUGUUCGGAAUUACUGGGCGUAAAGCGCGCGCAGGCGGUCUUUCAAGUCAGUGGUGAAAGCCUGGAGCUCAACUCCAGAACUGCCAUUGAAACUGCAAGACUUGAGUACGAGAGAGGUGAGUGGAAUUCCCAGUGUAGAGGUGAAAUUCGUAGAUAUUGGGAAGAACACCGGUGGCGAAGGCGGCUCACUGGAUCGUAACUGACGCUCAGGCGCGACAGCGUGGGGAUCAAACAGG
rnacentral:rRNA from 1 species